rnacentral:rRNA from 1 species
UACGUAGGGUGCGAGCGUUAAUCGGAAUACUGGGCGUAAAGCGUGCGCAGGCGGUUAUGUAAGACAGGUGUGAAAUCCCCGGGCUUAACCUGGGAACUGCAUUUGUGACUGCAUAGCUAGAGUACGGUAGAGGGGGAUGGAAUUCCGCGUGUAGCAGUGAAAUGCGUAGAUAUGCGGAGGAACACCGAUGGCGAAGGCAAUCCCCUGGACCUGUACUGACGCUCAUGCACGAAAGCGUGGGGAGCAAACAGG